AGAGAGAUAGUUUUGCAAAGGAAGAUAAGGGUGAUGCUCCAGGAAAGUAUGGAGAUGAUGCUGGAAAGAAAGAACAAUAGAUGUCUGCCGUGGAAUGCAGCAGAGCAUUUUAAUAAUGGCAGGUCCUAGUGCUCUGAAUAAGGCCACUUGGCCAGCAGACCUCGGGGCUUCCAUUAUUGUUAUGGGCAAAGCUUCCAUUGAAUCACCCACAUGGACCCUGUCUGCAUCAUCCUAUCUAAUGCCAUUGUGACAUUCCAAGGUCACAGUAAGAAACGCUGGAACCCAGUUUCAUCAGCAAAGUCAGUUCUCUCAAGUUCCAGCCUGCCUCUAGAAUGGUGGGGCAGGGCAAGUUGUGGGAGCAGCUACUACCCCUUCAAAGAUCUGAAGUCCAAAGAGAGGAUUCCCAGCCCAUCCAGACCAUUGGGACUUCAUACUAAAGGCCUUGGCCUGGCCUCACAGCCCUACUUUUCCAACUCAUGUACCGAGAUACUUUCUCACAUCUCUUGAGUCAGAUGCCAGAGUAUAAUUAGAAAAGCAAAUAACGAUACAAAGUCCCUCUUACUGAGGUUUUCUGGAUGACCGUUCGAGUCAGAAAAACAAUAGUGCUUGGAGGACGGAAAUGAGCCCACAUGUUGGAGAAUGGACACGAGGAACUGAAAUCAUGGAGCAGGGGCAAGCCAACUCAAACAGCAGGACUUUAGCUCUCGUUCAGACGAAAGAGCAAGGCACUCAGAUGGGACAGAGGCCAGGGGUGGCAUCUCUGGUGACUCUCGGAAGCCCCUGCUUCCCCAAUAUGUUUAAUCUGCUCAAUCUACACAGCUGGUGUGUGAUCUUUGUGCUUGCGCCAGCCACUACAGCAGUUAUUCAAAGAGAGAAAGAGCAAGGAAGAGAGGAAAUCACGUGGAAAUAAAAGCACCUUACACGGCACUGACCCCUGUACGGUAUCCUUGCUUCUGGCAAAGCCUGUUUCCGUCGGUGGAGCCUGCUGAAGUGAGACUGGGUAGGUGAGGAAGAAGAUGCAACGACUAAAAAAG